GAUUGCUUCUAAAAGUUUAAUGAAAAGUCCUCUAUUUCGAAGUUCGUUGCAGCCCAGUUCAAGUGUUUGCAAAGAAUCCUUGAACUGGAGAAUCUCUGAAUCAUAAUUUAAUCUGAAAAGCAUUGCAUUUAGGCGAGUAAAAGCCGAAGGAACAGCUUUCAAGAGAUGGUAAAGGAAAAACUCAGCAUCUGCAAGUCUACUGGGGUCUCCAUCGAAUUCAAGAAUUU
rnacentral:misc_RNA from 1 species